AAAUGUUGACAAAAUCGAUAUGUUGUCUCUAAGUGAAAAGUAUAUUAGUUUUUGACACAAUGGAUCUACUUAAAAAUAUCAAAAAUAAAGAAAUAUUAACUGAAGUUCUUCACCUUUCGGUGGACUAUUUGAUCGGAAACAUAAAUGACCAACAAGCACUUCGGUUAUCUCACAAAUAUGGAUUUCAAAAUUCGAAUGAUUUUCUUCUUGCCACAAAAUCUAUAUCACAGUAUUACAGUAUCUGCUGUUUAGAUCGUUGUGAUACGGAAAGCUGGAUAAUUGGAUCCAGAUUAAGACCUGAAUUGUGUCGCAUAGUAAUUGCAGUAUUAAACGCACGUCAACCAGAAGUAUUAAAACAUAUGAAUCAUUGUGAAUAUUCAAAAAGUAAUCAAAUCAUCAAGUCUUUUUUUUGGGAUAUUCGUUUAGUUAUCGGUGAUUGUGUUUUUGGUGGUUCCAUGAGUCAGGUAUUAAAACUAAGUUUAGUUCUCAAGCAACAAAAUGCAAAAAAUCAGAAUAUUGUCUUUCAAAUGAAUAAACAAAGUGC